UACGUAGGUGGCAAGCGUUGUUCGGAUUUAUUGGGCGUAAAGGGUGCGUAGGUGGGUGAUUAAGUUGGAUGUGCAAAUUCGGGACUCAAUUUCGAACCUGCGUCCAAAACUGGUCAUCUUGAGGUUGGCAGAGGUUAGCGGAAUUUCUGGUGUAGGAGUGAAAUCUAUAGAUAUCAGAAAGAACACCGAUGGCGAAGGCAGCUAACUGGGCUAUACCUGACACUGAAGCACGAAAGCCAGGGGAG
rnacentral:rRNA from 1 species